rnacentral:misc_RNA from 1 species
GAAGUUGGAGGAGCUGAGCAAGAGCAUUGAAACAAUACAGUGAAUAACCAGUAAAAUCUCCCCUGACUAAUUAGGCUUGUGUGAUGUAUUUAAGAAAGUUCUUUUUCUCUAUUUAUAUAUGCGUGUGGCGUUUGAUUGUAUUUCCUUUUCUCUUUUCCGUGUUGUUGUCUGAUCAUUUUAGCUUUUGGAGGGAUGAUCAGUGUCUAAUUUUAGGUCUCUUAAGGGAAAAGACAGACCCUCUAAUACAGGUUUGUAACUAAAACAAGUCUCAG